rnacentral:rRNA from 1 species
AGCGAACGCUGGCGGCAGGCCUAACACAUGCAAGUCGAACGAACUCUUCGGAGUUAGUGGCGGACGGGUGAGUAACACGUGGGAACGUGCCUUUUGGUUCGGAAUAACUCAGGGAAACUUGUGCUAAUACCGAAUGUGCCCUUCGGGGGAAAGAUUUAUCGCCAUUAGAGCGGCCCGCGUCUGAUUAGCUAGUUGGUGAGGUAACGGCUCACCAAGGCGACGACCAGUAGCUGGUCUGAGAGGAUGACCAGCCACACUGGGACUGAGACACGGACCAGACUCCUACGGGAGGCAGCAGUGGGGAAUCUUGCGCAAUGGGCGAAAGCCUGACGCAGCCAUGCCGCGUGAAUGAUGAAGGUCUUAGGAUUGUAAAAUUCUUUCACCGGGGACGAUAAUGACGGUACCCGGAGAAGAAGCCCCGGCUAACUUCGUG